GACGAACGCUGGCGGCGUGCCUAACACAUGCAAGUCGAGCGAGUGGAGUUCUUCGGAACAAAGCUAGCGGCGGACGGGUGAGUAACACGUGGGCAACCUGCCUCAUAGAGGGGAAUAGCCUCCCGAAAGGGAGAUUAAUACCGCAUAAGAUUGUAGCUUCGCAUGAAGUAGCAAUUAAAGGAGCAAUCCGCUAUGAGAUGGGCCCGCGGCGCAUUAGCUAGUUGGUGAGGUAACGGCUCACAAAGGCGACGAUGCGUAGCCGACCGGAGAGGGUGAUAGGCCACAUUGGGACUGAGACACGGCCCAGGCUCCUACGGGAGGCAGCAGUGGGGAAUAUUGCACAAUGGGGGAACCCCUGAUGCAGCAACGCCGCGUGAGUGAUGACGGCCUUCGGGUUGUAAAGCUCUGUCUUCAGGGACGAUAAUGACGGUACCUGAGGAGGAAGCCACGGCUAACUACGUGCCAGCCGCCGCCGUAACAC
rnacentral:rRNA from 1 species